GAUGAACGCUGGCGGCGUGCCUAAUACAUGCAAGUCGAGCGAACGGACGAGAAGCUUGCUUCUCUGAUGUUAGCGGCGGACGGGUGAGUAACACGUGGAUAACCUACCUAUAAGACUGGGAUAACUUCGGGAAACCGGAGCUAAUACCGGAUAAUAUUUUGAACCGCAUGGUUCAAAAGUGAAAGACGGUCUUGCUGUCACUUAUAGAUGGACCCGCGCUGCAUUAGCUAGUUGGUAAGGUAACGGCUUACCAAGGCAACGAUGCAUAGCCGACCUGAGAGGGUGAUCGGCCACACUGGAACUGAGACACGGUCCAGACUCCUACGGGAGGCAGCAGUAGGGAAUCUUCCGCAAUGGGCGAAAGCCUGACGGAGCAACGCCGCGUGAGUGAUGAAGGUCUUCGGAUCGUAAAACUCUGUUAUUAGGGAAGAACAUAUGUGUAAGUAACUGUGCACAUCUUGACGGUACCUAAUCAGAAAGCCACGGCUAACUACGUGCCAGCAGCCGCGGUAAUACGUAGGUGGCAAGCGUUAUCCGGAAUUAUUGGGCGUAAAGCGCGCGUAGGCGGUUUUUUAAGUCUGAUGUGAAAGCCCACGGCUCAACCGUGGAGGGUCAUUGGAAACUGGAAAACUUGAGUGCAGAAGAGGAAAGUGGAAUUCCAUGUGUAGCGGUGAAAUGCGCAGAGAUAUGGAGGAACACCAGUGGCGAAGGCGACUUUCUGGUCUGUAACUGACGCUGAUGUGCGAAAGCGUGGGGAUCAAACAGGAUUAGAUACCCUGGUAGUCCACGCCGUAAACGAUGAGUGCUAAGUGUUAGGGGGUUUCCGCCCCUUAGUGCUGCAGCUAACGCAUUAAGCACUCCGCCUGGGGAGUACGACCGCAAGGUUGAAACUCAAAGGAAUUGACGGGGACCCGCACAAGCGGUGGAGCAUGUGGUUUAAUUCGAAGCAACGCGAAGAACCUUACCAAAUCUUGACAUCCUUUGACAACUCUAGAGAUAGAGCUUUCCCCUUCGGGGGACAAAGUGACAGGUGGUGCAUGGUUGUCGUCAGCUCGUGUCGUGAGAUGUUGGGUUAAGUCCCGCAACGAGCGCAACCCUUAAGCUUAGUUGCCAUCAUUAAGUUGGGCACUCUAAGUUGACUGCCGGUGACAAACCGGAGGAAGGUGGGGAUGACGUCAAAUCAUCAUGCCCCUUAUGAUUUGGGCUACACACGUGCUACAAUGGACAAUACAAAGGGCAGCGAAACCGCGAGGUCAAGCAAAUCCCAUAAAGUUGUUCUCAGUUCGGAUUGUAGUCUGCAACUCGACUACAUGAAGCUGGAAUCGCUAGUAAUCGUAGAUCAGCAUGCUACGGUGAAUACGUUCCCGGGUCU
rnacentral:rRNA from 1 species